AGAGAAGACAUUCAAAAUGGAGUACAUGUGAAAGGCUUUAAGAUAAAUCACCAUUAACCUUUAAAGCAUCAGGACUGCAUUUUCUAGAGAAUCAUAGAAAAUGCUAACUCUAAAACUGCACAAAUUUUAUUUUACUUCAUUUUUCACACAAUAAACAAUCCAGAAUGUCCUAAGUGUGACCUGCGUGCUUUAGUAUCAUAAUGUUAGAAUCCCUAAAAUUAAUAUCAUCAAAUAAACAAGAUGUUUCCAAGUGGUGGGAUAGGAAUUAUGUGAAGUCUGAAGUUGAAGCUGUUGCAUCAGAAUAAUUUGAUUUGUAGUCUGGCUCCGCCACCUCCAUUAGCGAUCACAUCUUGACAGACACAGAGUUCAUCCAAUUUCAGUUCUCAUUGUGCAGAGGUAUUGAUGUUUUCAUGUUACUCUGGUCAGUCAAUAAGGUUAAAAGGAUAAAGUUUAUUUAGUUUUCAACAUUGCCUUCUUGAAGUCAAAUGUCUAUUUAAUUAAAUUUCCCAAUAUUUGGCAAGACAAGAAUGGUAGUGUCAGCUUUCUUUAGCUUAAUAUUAAAUAGCAUCUUCUGCAAUCUGGUGAAGACCAUCUGCAGUAAUAGGAAACAGAUACACUUUGAAGCCACCGACAGCAGCGGUGGGUAGGCCAAAUGCUUUGCCAAGGAGCUCAGUGAUUUCUCAGAGUUUCCUAUGUAUAUUGUCUUCCAGCCUUCAAUGUGAUAUUCCAUCUACCACUGCGUUGUGAUGAUCUCUCAAAUGCUAUUGCUUCUCAUAUUGAACAUGCAUACACAUGAGGAUACAUUAAACAUCUUUUCCAACUUCCUCUAAAUCAAAGUUAGUAAUAAUAACUUCCAAAGAGAAUGCCUUCUAAAUGUUGUUUGUAAUUUUAAUCUAGGUAUUCAUAUAAUAAUGUAAUCAUAUUUCCUUUCAUAUUUAGAAGUUAAUUUUUACAAGGUGUGUCUGUUGUGUGCAUCAGAAGGAAAAUGAUUUACAUUUAGUUUUUGGGAAAGUUAGAUGACAUCUCAGAUUAUGGAAUUUUUGCUUAAUCGGUGAAUGCCGAAUAUUUGUCUAUCAACAUGGGCACAACCCUCCAUAGCACAACUAACAGGGUGGGCAAAAUGAGAUGGAGAAAAUCCUUGCUCUCAGUCUGCUUUCUGUCUAGAGGAACAAGUUAUUAUCAAGCACAAGUACUCACUAAGUGCCAGUAGUCAUUGGACAUAUUUUUCAGC
rnacentral:lncRNA from 1 species